rnacentral:rRNA from 1 species
CAGUUAAAGCUCGUAGUUGGAUUUCUUGUGCAUGAAGCGGGUCGGCUCAAAGAGUCUGUACUAGCUUUCAUGCACAAUCCUCGUAACAAGCUGUCGGUGAGUUAACUCCAUUCGGCAGUGAGUUGCGUCAUUCACUGUGAACAAAUUAGAGUGUUUAAAGCAGGCAAAUGCUGUGAAUACAUUAGCAUGGAAUAAUAAGAUAGGACCUAGAGUCUAUUUUGUUGGUUGCGAUUUUAGGUAAUGAUUAAUAGGGAUAGUUGGGGGUAUUCAUAUUCAAUUGUCAGAGGUGAAAUUCUUGGAUUUAUGGAAGAUGAACAACUGCGAAAGCAUUUACCAAGGAUGUUUUCAUUAAUCAAGAACGAAAGUUAGGGGAUCGAAGAUGAUUAGAUACCAUCGUAGUCUUAACCAUAAACUAUGCCGACUAGGGAUUGGACCACGCUAUUUAAUGGCAGGUUCAGCACCUUAUGAGAAAUCAAAGUCUUUGGGUUCCGGGGGGAGUAUGGUCGCAAGGCUGAAACUUAAAGGAAUUGACGGAAGGGCACCACCAGGAGUGGAGCCUGCGGCUUAAUUUGACUCAACACGGGAAAAGUAAGUUUCUUAUAUACACAUUAUAUUCUUAAAAUGACUCACUAAUCAUUAUUCUUUUUUAAUUUGGACUUGCAGCUUACCAGGUCCGGACAUAGUAAGGAUUGACAGAUUGAGAGCUCUUUCUUGAUUCUAUGGGUGGUGGUG